rnacentral:rRNA from 1 species
GCACGGGUGCGUAACGCGUGGGAAUCUGCCCUUGGGUUCGGAAUAACAGUUAGAAAUGACUGCUAAUACCGGAUGAUGUCUUCGGACCAAAGAUUUAUCGCCCAGGGAUGAGCCCGCGUAGGAUUAGGUAGUUGGUGGGGUAAAGGCCUACCAAGCCGACGAUCCUUAGCUGGUCUGAGAGGAUGAUCAGCCACACUGGGACUGAUACACGGCCCAGACUCCUACAGGAGGCAGCAAUGGGGAAUAUUGGACAAUGGGGGCAACCCUGAUCCAGCAAUGCCGCGUGAGUGAUGAAGGCCUUAGGGUCGUAAAGCUCUUUUACCAGGGAUGAUAAUGACAGUACCUGGAGAAUAAGCUCCGGCUAACUCCGUGCCAGCAGCCGCGGUAAUACGGAGGGAGCUAGCGUUGUUCGGAAUUACUGGGCGUAAAGCGCACGUAGGCGGUUAUUCAAGUCAGAGGUGAAAGCCCGGGGCUCAACCCCGGAACUGCCUUUGAAACUAGAUGACUGGAAUCUUGGAGAGGUCAGUGGAAUUCCGAGUGUAGAGGUGAAAUUCGUAGAUAUUCGGAAGAACACCAGUGGCGAAGGCGACUGACUGGACAAGUGUUGACGCUGAGGUGCGAAAGCGUGUGGAGCAGACAGGAUUAGAUACCCUGGUAGUCCACGCCGUAAACGAUGAUAACUAGCUGUCCGGACACUUGGUGUUUGGGUGGCG